CCCCAGCACCUAGCGCCAGCCACUGCACCGGUUGCGGCACAGGUCCCCACCCCCGCUCCGGCCCCUAUCAGCUCCGGCAUUCCACUCCCUCCUACACCCCUCUUGCCUCCCAAAACCUGGCUCCCUCCUCCACACCCCACUCCCUUCUACGAUUCCCCCAAACCUCCUGCACCCCUUGCCUAUCCCCCCUCCCCAGUGUCCCCUCUGCCCCCAGUGUCCCGGUCCCCUUUAGCAGGGAGGGGAUCGAGCUGUUCUUGAAACGCCAGAGCGCCCUGGACAGUCUGUCCGCUGGGCUCGGCCGCGUUUAGCACCUAGCAGGCUGUGCGUAAACCCUAUCCCUGGUCCAAAGGGGCCCCCGCCGGCCUGCGUCUUGCCAGCUCGGAGGCUCGGAGGCGGUGUGAGUGGUUAGAAGAAACUUUCCAGCACAGCGCCCUGCAGAAGCAGACGGUGCAUCUGUCAGCACCGCUCUCCCGGCGGGCGGCUUGCAACGGAGCUCCGGUGUGUUCCAGGGCAGUCGCUGCGGAAAGGAGGCGAAGCGUCCUCCUUCUUUUCCGUUUGUCCCUGUUGAGUACAUUGAACAGCGCCAGAGCCAAUAAUAAUAUUUUUCAAACUGUGGAUGUCUUGGAACGUGUUCAGACCUGGAAGACAGAAGAUCUAGACCUGCGUCUGAGACUUGCCACUCUUCUGUUUGACCUUGAGCAGUGGCUUCACCUUGAAAUGGGGUCUUUAUUCCCCAUGCCACACGGCUGUGUGUGAACCAAGAUCACGGUGGCAUCGCCCUGGUAUUUAUCCCGGACAAUCGGCUUCUCCUCGUGAACACUUCUGAAGACGAAUUUCCCAAAGCGCCGCCUGAAUACCAACUCCGAAGACAAAAGAACGCCCAAGAAAGGAAAAGAAAAGCCGAGCAAUUAAGUCUUUUAGCUCGUGGUGCAAGAGCCUGGUUUGUUUGUUUUGUUUUUGUAAGUCUCUAACGAUUGAAAAAAGAUUUCACGGAAGAUUCUGGCUGAUAGUUACUGUCCCUGACAUUGUGACAAGCUGGGGUGGGGUGUGUGUGUGUGUUUAGUUAAGAGGGGACAGAGUUGUUUGGGGACUUGAGGAAUAAAAAGCAAGCUCA